rnacentral:rRNA from 1 species
GAUUAGUGGCGAACGGGUGAGUAACACGUGAGUAACCUGCCCUUAACUCUGGGAUAAGCCUGGGAAACUGGGUCUAAUACCGGAUAUGACUCCUCAUCGCAUGGUGGGGGGUGGAAAGCUUUAUUGUGGUUUUGGAUGGACUCGCGGCCUAUCAGCUUGUUGGUGAGGUAAUGGCUCACCAAGGCGACGACGGGUAGCCGGCCUGAGAGGGUGACCGGCCACACUGGGACUGAGACACGGCCCAGACUCCUACGGGAGGCAGCAGUGGGGAAUAUUGCACAAUGGGCGAAAGCCUGAUGCAGCGACGCCGCGUGAGGGAUGACGGCCUUCGGGUUGUAAACCUCUUUCAGUAGGGAAGAAGCGAAAGUGACGGUACCUGCAGAAGAAGCGCCGGCUAACUACGUGCCAGCAGCCGCGGUAAUACGUAGGGCGCAAGCGUUAUCCGGAAUUAUUGGGCGUAAAGAGCUCGUAGGCGGUUUGUCGCGUCUGCCGUGAAAGUCCGGGGCUCAACUCCGGAUCUGCGGUGGGUACGGGCAGACUAGAGUGAUGUAGGGGAGACUGGAAUUCCUGGUGUAGCGGUGAAAUGCGCAGAUAUCAGGAGGAACACCGAUGGCGAAGGCAGGUCUCUGGGCAUUAACUGACGCUGAGGAGCGAAAGCAUGGGGAGCGAACAGGAUUAGAUACCCUGGUAGUCCAUGCCGUAAACGUUGGGCACUAGGUGUGGGGGACAUUCCACGUUUUCCGCGCCGUAGCUAACGCAUUAAGUGCCCCGCCUGGGGAGUACGGCCGCAAGGCUAAAACUCAAAGGAAUUGACGGGGGCCCGCACAAGCGGCGGAGCAUGCGGAUUAAUUCGAUGCAACGCGAAGAACCUUACCAAGGCUUGACAUGAACCGGAAAUACCUGGAAACAGGUGCCCCGCUUGCGGUCGGUUUACAGGUGGUGCAUGGUUGUCGUCAGCUCGUGUCGUGAGAUGUUGGGUUAAGUCCCGCAACGAGCGCAACCCUCGUUCUAUGUUGCCAGCGCGUUAUGGCGGGGACUCAUAGGAGACUGCCGGGGUCAACUCGGAGGAAGGUGGGGACGACGUCAAAUCAUCAUGCCCCUUAUGUCUUGGGCUUCACGCAUGCUACAAUGGCCGGUACAAAGGGUUGCGAUACUGUGAGGUGGAGCUAAUCCCAAAAAGCCGGUCUCAGUUCGGAUUGGGGUCUGCAACUCGACCCCAUGAAGUCGGAGUCGCUAGUAAUCGCAGAUCAGCAACGCUGCGGUGAAUACGUUCCCGGGCCUUGUACACACCGCCCGUCAAGUCACGAAAGUUGGUAACACCCGAAGCCGG